rnacentral:rRNA from 1 species
AGUGAACGCUGGCGGCAGGCCUAACACAUGCAAGUCGAGCGGCAGCGCGUCCGACCACCCUCGGGUGGUCGGAUGGCGGCGAGCGGCGGACGGGUGAGGAAUGCAUCGGAAUCUGCCUCGUUGUGGGGGAUAACGUAGGGAAACUUACGCUAAUACCGCAUACGACCUACGGGUGAAAGUGGGGGACCUUCGGGCCUCACGCGAUGAGAUGAGCCGAUGCCGGAUUAGCUAGUUGGCGGGGUAAAGGCCCACCAAGGCGACGAUCCGUAGCUGGUCUGAGAGGAUGAUCAGCCACACUGGAACUGAGACACGGUCCAGACUCCUACGGGAGGCAGCAGUGGGGAAUAUUGGACAAUGGGGGCAACCCUGAUCCAGCCAUGCCGCGUGCGGGACGAAGGCCUUCGGGUUGUAAACCGCUUUCAGCCGGAAGAAAUACGCCGUUUUAAUACUAGACGGUGGAUGACGGUACCGGAAGAAGAAG